rnacentral:rRNA from 1 species
AUGAACGCUGGCGGCGUGGAUAAGGCAUGCAAGUCGGACGAUUUCCUUUUUGAAGAAGAUGCGAUUACAUCAAGUCAACUGAUAUUUUGGAGAUAGUGGCGAACGAGCUAGUAACACCUUGGUACGUACCCAAAAGUUUGGUAUAGCUCGCCGAAAGGCGGGGUAAUCCCAAAUAAUCCCCCUAUCUAUCGGAUAGAAGGGUAAAGUCGCAAGACGCUUUUGGAGCGGCCUAGGACCGAUCAGUUAGUUGGUGAGGUAAUGGCUCACCAAGACGAUGACCGGUAGGGG